rnacentral:rRNA from 1 species
CCCUUAGAUGUUCUGGGCCGCACGCGUGCUACACUGAGUGGAUCAGCGGGUCAGGUUGCGCGAAAGUGUUUCCUAAUCUUGAAAUCCGCUCGUGAUGGGGAUUGACGGUUGCAAUUUUCCGUCAUGAACGAGGAAUACCUUGUAAGCGCGGGUCAUCAUCCCGCGCUGAAUACGUCCCUGCCCUUUGUACACACCGCCCGUCGCUCCUACCGAUUGAGUGGUCCGGUGAGGCUUUGGGAUCUGAGCCGAAAGAGCGUUUCGCUGUUUCUGCUCGGAAAACUCAGUCGAACCUUAUCAUUUAGAGGAAGGAGAAGUCGUAACA